UGAUGCGCGCUGUGCACGCGCCUGACCGCGCGGAGUUCGCUCUGGGGUGCUUCAGCAGUGUGCCAGUGAAUCCUCGGGACAAGGCGCCAAAGUGUCCACCCACCCCACUUGGAAGGGCUGGGCAAAGGUUGCACGUGGCUCGUCAAGCCGGCCUUGCCUCGGAAACUCCACCAGUGAUGCGGCUGCCCACGGUGGCCUGCUCUGGGUGCUUAGGGUGUGUGAGUUGCCUCACCCCCCCACCUCCACCCCCCGGCUUGUCGAAAACCGCGCCCUAUCAUUGGAGCCGAGGGAAAGAGGGGUGUCCAUUUGGGGACCCAGUGUGACCCGCGACUGGCGGUAGCUGCGGGGAGGGCACGCUCUAGCUCCUGCGUUUACCAAGGGCCAGGGACUUUAAUGGGUACAGUUCCACCCACUUUGCAAAUUAGGAAAUUGAGGCUUCCCGGCAGGUUAAACCAAGUGGUCCUGCGCGACGAGAAAGAAGUUGAGAUUUGGAGGCAAGCCUUAUUCAGAGGCCGGUCUUUUCUCAUGCAUAGCAGGACAAUGAAGAAAGAGCAGCCCUCCCCACCGUUCCAGGUUAGACAUUUACUCUCAAGCUUAGACUCAUCUUCCUCUCUUCCUUCUUUGCUCUGACAAACCUGGAGCGCCGACAGGUCGCCACACACUUUUUAAGGGGAGAGAGAGAGCACGGAGCUCGGGUGCCAGCAAGGGAGCCAGACACACGCAGAGAAGGACUAUGUCGGGUUGUGUUUGUCACUGAGUGACCACCCCUAGGGUGGGCGGCCACAAAGGGAGGAGACCUUUGAACAAUGACUUCAUACACAAGCAGCCCUGAGAGGAUAGGGUCAGAGACCACCAGGAAAAGCCACUGGAGUCAGUUCCGCUCCCCAGUGCUCGGCCUGCGUUCGGUUAGAAGGACCCGUCCAUCCACUGUGGCAGAGAAGCGCCAGGCCUGGCUUUUGGAGCUGAGUCCCCAGCCUCCCUACCUGUUUUCAAUGAGAUGGAAAUCAGGUGCACGUUGCCCAGCUUCUCACGUGACCUCUCUCUAAAUAAGCAGUAAGCAACUGCAAAACUCAGAAUGCUAAUAAUGGCCUAUAUUGAGUGAAAAGAGCUAAUUUGGGCAAUGAUGUUUCCCUCGGAUUUACAAAAGGGAAUUGCAAAUAACCAAACAGUAAUAGCACUGAUGGGAGAUGAUGCUAAACUUCAAUCAGCACCCGCGUUAGUUAUUCACAUAUUUAGAAGGGAACCUUUUCGACACAGUGGCUGCGCACACGCGUUACGGUGACAGGUACAGCCGGUGGGUUCAUAAAUGCCUUAAUGUGCAAGCCAGCAUUGACAGACCUAGUUCUUGUUCACCGAUCUAGGCUAUUUUAAGCCGGAGUGGUCUGUUUGGUUUCUUGUCUGCUUGCUUUUUCUGGUCCAGAAGCAGAGGAAUCUAUCUGGAUUCUAGUUCCAUUCUUUCUGGCUCUAAUUCUGUUUUAGCUUGAACGAAGACUGUUUGCUACUAAUGUCUUGUUGAGCCUUGACAUGCUGCUGUGCUCGUGUAACUGAAGGGCUUUCCUGAGAGAACAUAAUUAGCAAAAUGUAAAAAUUCCUAGAUGGCUCAGUGGGUAAUCAGGCUGAUGACCUGAGUUUGAUCCCUGGGACCCGCAUGAUGGAAAAGAGAGCUGAUUCACUCUCACAAGUUGUCCUCUGACCUCAAGUUGUCCUCUGACCUCCACACACAUUUGCCAUGGCACACACCCACACCCACACCCACACCCACACCCACACCCACACACACACACACACACACACAAAAGGUAAUAAAAUUUAAACUCCUAUAUUAUUUUUGUGUCCUGCUUUACAAGGGUAUGAACAUGGUGGUCAUCCUUGAGGUGUGACAGCCCCAGAAGGAUCUGCAGGAGCUACUGUAGACCAGGUCAUUUCAGGCCUGCUGAGGAGAACAGUGCUCUCCUCAGCCUGGAAGGCCCAACAGUAGUGGAGGACACUACUGUGAUUUGGGCCUAAAGUUUCAUUCAGAGGUGGAAACAAACGGAAGGAAAUUCAGCCACAGGGCACCGCUGCUCCUGAAGAAAUGAAUGUUUUCCUCCCAGAACUGAAUUACUGGUGUGCUGGGACUGGCAAAGACCAUGGAGGCCUGCUAAAGGAUGCUGCCCUCUGUGUGGUGAUGUACCCAAAUUUACCGUCAGCAAAGACCGAGCAGAUGGGGCUAUCUAGUCGUGGACUUCAACACUCCCAAACUGUAAGCUGUAUAAGCCUCUCUUCUGUAUAGACAGAUUCCAGCCUCAGAAAACAGAUAAUGGGUGCAUGGAGGAGACAGAAUGGAUGUGGUAUGAGACUGGAGGAGAGGUCACAUGAAGGAACCCCUUCCGGGGAGAAUCAAGUGGAUCAUGACUUCACAGGAAGUCCCAUUCUCCCAGGACAUAGGCACUAAAGCAGAGAAGUGCGGGUGUUGUCCAGGACUGGCUCUGCCAGCUAUCUUGGAGCUACAGUGGCAGCAGAGCCUCUGUACCCUUCAGGGUCAUUGACUUCUCUCCACUCUGCAGACCUGAGAUGUCUGCAGACAGAAAUGUGGAUAGUCUUCCCUGAUUGCCUUGGGCUGCAGAACCCCAAGGGACAAGGGUUUCUCUGUGUAGCCCUGGUGUCCUGGAACUCACGACCUGGCUGGCCUUGAACUCACAGAGAUCUGCCCGCCUCUGCCUCCUGAACACUGGGAUUAAAGAUGUGCACCAGCACAUCCAGCAUUUUUAUUAAAUUUUAAUUAUUUAAGUGUGUAAAGAUUAUCCUCAGUUGCACAAGACCCUGUCUCAAAAGUCAGAAAAAAAUGGUUUGUGGUGGGGAGCUGGUGACAUUGUUCAGCAAGUAAUGUGCUUGUCACCUAAGACUGUCAACCUGCCUUUGGGCUCUGGAAACCACAUGGGAGGAGAGAGAUUGCCCUCUGACUUCCACAUGUGUGCCAUGGAGCAUGCACAAGCCCCCAUCAUAUACACACAAUGGUAAUGUUUAAAAAAAAAAAUAGAGGAGGAGGAGCUGAAUCUAAGGGCAGACCUGUUAGCUUCUGCCUGAGUCAGCAUGUCUGUUUCAUUUGCUCCUUCAGAUAUUGGCACCAAGGACUCUGAUGUCACUCAUCCCCUGGGCACACUGACAGUGGCUGUGGUACACAGCAGGAAACUGCUUCAUAAUAGUCCCAGUGGCCCCUCUGCUGACUCUGGAUCACCCUGAACCAAGCCUUUCCACGUUCCAGGCUGACUUCUCUUCCAGGAUGGAAUUCCUGACCUUGCUGGCCAGGGCUAGGGCAGUGGGGGGGGGGGGCAGAUGAGAAAGGGCAUUGGAUAAUCCAGAGAGGUCUGCACCCUCUCCCAGAGAACCACUCCCCUUACCUGGUGAGGAGUCACUUGUCCCCAUCCCCCAUCAGGAAAGACUUGAAAAACCAGAAAAUGAGAGUGCCAAGAUGAACCAUCACAUUGUGUUAAUAUUUUCACACCACUUAACUCUCAUUAAAAUGUACUUUGCUGAAUUUAAUAUGUGAUUUCAAAUGACACAACAUAUUAAGUGCUUAAUAUACUAGAAAUUAUGAAACUAUUAUAGUCGAUGCCAUAUGAAAUAAUUAGAGUGAAUUAAACUUUAGCAGCCGAGUGAAGGCAAGGCUUCAACUUAUAAUAUCUGCAAGUCGCUCAAGCCACCGCUGUAAUCCCCCAAAUAAAUGUCCAGAAAUUAG
rnacentral:lncRNA from 1 species